UGAGUGAGAGUCGGCCGUCUUCAGGCAG
rnacentral:sRNA from 1 species